UGAGAAGUAAAAGAAUUUUGGUCCGUAUAGCCCCUUAUCUCUUCUUAUGUGGAGCCGCCAUUCUUCUCUUGGGUUCAUCCUCUCCUGCGUAAAUUGAUUAGGUCUAGCAUCAAUGGAAGUUAUGAGACUAUCAGAGAGGAGUCUCAAUCUAUCUCCCCACAGGCGUUACAAGCUGCAUUUAUUCAAAGCCAUUAACGAGUUCUUAACUCUUCAGUGAUCAAUCACAUUCAAAGAUUCUAGCCCCUUUUUCAAGGGGUGUAUCUCUACCUAUAAAAAGGUCCGCGUCCGUUGUUCUUCCACCGUGGAGAUCCGUCUGAUCAGAUUCUGGCCAUCCUUCUCUUGCUCGCAACCCAUCUCUGUUUCGUCCUUUUUCCCUUACCCGACGGCUAUUGAUCGGAUGAGCUCCGAGCAAUCGCUUCUCCGCGUGAUUCUCCAAAUGGGUGAUCCCGAUCUGGUAACUUAGCUUAAUUUGUAAAAGGGAUUUUUGAAAUUUUGCUGCUUUGUAUGUGUUAACAUAUGCAAUCACUCUUUACAAUGCAUUUGCCUUUGAAGCUAUGCUUAAAAGAAAUGUUAGAUCUUUGUAUUUGUGAGAGAAUAGCUAAGUUGCUGAUAAUGUUCUUACCUUUAGAACUUUACUGAUUGACUCUUUACAGUGCAUUUUCAUUUGAAGCUUAUUGAAAAGUUAUUCACUUUAUGAAACUUCAAUCAUGUUUCUGUUAUUACAUACUGUUGCCAAGCCAUUUCUCUCAGUUCCAAGUUAUUGAAGCUCGAAAUCUGAAGAAAGGAGGCAAGCUUAUUGGAGUUGACACGGUGUUGCUGGACGAGAAGUUAACCUUGAUACAAGGUUCCAUUGCCCCACACCAGCUUAACAGUUUCAAGAAUCUGCUGAGGGAAGGAGUGUAUGAGCUCAGUGUUUUUGAUGUUGAUAGAAGUAACAACUACUUCAAACGGUCUGUGUUCGAUUCACCGAGCAUACUACUUCAAACUUGAAAGUUGCAACAUAUAAUGACUAAGGUCAAUGCAGUGAAGUUCACUGACUCAUCAGCUGUAGUUGUGUCAGCUGGCUUCGAUCAUUCGCAACGUGUAUGGGACUGCAGAUUUCAGGCGUUUCUUCCUUUCUUUCCAAUUCAAUUAUUUUGUAACUAGAUCUUAACCAACUUUGGUUUUAUUCAUGUGUGUGUGUUUUCUCUUUCAGAUUACUAAUAGUUUUUGGAUAGUAUGUUGUUUAACAAAGACUGAGAUUAUAGCCACUAAUACUUUAGCAUCUAUGAUAUUCUAUAUUUUUAUU